rnacentral:miRNA from 1 species
UUUUCAAAUUUUACUAUAUACCGUCUGGGAAGCUGGUUAAAAUGAGGAUUUGGGGAGCUUCCCAUUUAGAUUCAGUAGAUGUGAGGUGGGGCCCAGGAAUCUGCAUUUUAACCAAGACUUUAGCUGAUUUGGAUAUGGGA